AUGUGUCUUGCUUCUGUUUUUCAGGAGAGCAAUCAAGCAAGCCUGCGUUAUACUAUAAAGGGAGGCUGUAUGCAAUCUCCUUUUGCGUCAUUUCAAAUGCAGCAGAAGCAAAUUGCCGAAAUGGAAACCAACACCUUUGGUCUAAAAAAAUGUGCCUCACUGAUGCCAGAGGUUGGCAUGGGACUGUGUGCUGCAGCUGCUGCCAUUUUGUGUGGGCUGUGUGGUGCGAGAGGCUCAACUGCCUUGUCCCCUUGUGUCUAUGCUUCUUUUCCAUUACGUCUGCAGAAAGAAAAACUGACAAGUGGAAAUCAUCACCAGUUAAGAUGGGAAGAAUGGAGAGAACAGGCAAGGGAAAGGUGAAAUUGCCAAGAGUCUUCCAGGUGACCUACGGAAGUCUGGCUCUGUGCCUUUCUGCUGCUUAUGGACCACCCAGGCCAGCUGGCAAGAAGCAGAUAUGUAGUUUCUGA
rnacentral:lncRNA from 1 species